ensembl:lncRNA
CUAGUUAUGAACAUUGUUGUCUAAAAAACACCAUGUAAAUAUGCCGGAAUGAGUAAAAACAACUACUAUCCAUGUACCUAACUACCUUAACUGCCCAGGCUAGUAUUGACUGUCACACGAAUUCAUGAGCCCAGCUUUAUUUAAACAUGUGUAGCAUACAGGAGCCUCAAUGUAAGACAACGAGAAUGAAACAUAGACGAAGUAGCAUUGUUUAUAAUGAGGAUACGUAACCAAGGUGUCCGUCGCUAUGGUAACAGAACAUGUUCCUGGACUCAUCUUGAGAAUCUCCUACAGUAGGAGUUAUGUAAAUAUGGCAACAAUGAUCACAUGGAUGAAUGUGGUUCUAGGCACAGAGGCAGGAUGGAAACAAUGGAGUGUGUUCAUGUGUCCAUACGUUCAGGUGUCAUAGGCAUGUGUUCAUACGUUAAGGUGGUCAUGUGUUCAUAGGUUCAGGUGUUCAUGGUUCAUGUGUUCAUGGUCCAUGUGUUCAUCGGUUCAUGUGUCCAUAUGUUCAGGUGUUAAAGGCUCAUGUGUUAGUAGGGCCAUGUGUGCAUGUGUCCAUGUUUUGAUGUGUUCAUGGUUCAUGUGUUCAUGGUUCAUGUGUUCAUGUGUUCAUGUGUCCAUGGUUCAUGUGUCCAUGGUUCAUGUGUUCAUGUGUCCAUGGUUCAUGUGUUCAUGUGUUCAUGUGUCUAUAGUUCAUGUGUUCAUGUGUCCAUGGUUCAUGGUUCAUGUGUUCAUGGUUCAUGUGUUCAUGUUUUCAUGUUUUCAUGUUUCAUGUGUUCAUGUGUCCAUGGUUCAUGGUUCAUGUGUUCAUGAGGAUGGCUCAGGGCGGGGUGCAGAGGCUGAGCAGAUGAAUGCGUGUUGUGGUUCCUCGGUGCAGCUGGCGGGGGUCCAGGUCCACACGUUCUGGACCAGAACACAACGGGACCCCCCCUGGCCCCACCCUGAGACCCCCCCCGAGACCCCCCCCGGGCCUGCCGCCCCCAGCUGGGGCCGCAACCUGGAGAACUGCAGGCUCCGCCCAUCCUGCCACGCCCACUUCCCUGGCCCCCCAGUC